ACUAGAGAAAGCUGUUCACGUUCACUCUCAGCGGGCGCGCGCUGGCAGAAGGGGAUAGAGACGUCUCAUGUAACUGACUACAGUAAUCUGAGUAAUCUGUGCUGUGUACGACGCGUUAUAUAACGUGACCGGGAUGAGAACAGAGUAUGGAUUGAACAGUAAACGCGGAGGCUUUUUUGAGAAGGAUGCUGGAUGUCCGCGAGCGCGCACCCAGCGCGUCAGAAAAGCGAGCGCUCUGUCACUGAACUCCAGCUGCAGCAGGUCCAGAAUCAUGAGGGGGAUGAAGUGUGCUGUCAGCAUACUGGAAACGCUAAACUGGCUUGUAGGAGGCAGAAAGCUGAGUGAGUCUCUCAACCGAUAUGUAAUGCAACACCAGCUCUGAUUCUGCUGAGACCUGCGAAUGAAAGUUCAAGAGUCUCUUGAAAACGGCUGGAACAUUGCUGAGAUAGAUCAUUAAUUGUAUGUGCCGCAGCAAGCGAGCCUAUUAAACAGCAUCAAAGUCCUGCUUCUGGCAUUCUCCCCCGUAAUAUCGAGAUGCAGUGUUGUGGAUCGCCCUGCAAUGCUAUGCGUAAUCAGUUUUUAGAGGAUAAAGACGCCCGCUUAUUUAAAGACAUGUUGGCAAUGCUGUGAAUAGAUGCAUUAUGGAACUACUUAAAGUAGUGAAAGUCUUCCCGUCAGUCAGUUACCUCCUUAUCAUUCCAAACCUGCAUAUCUUUCUUUUGUGAAACAUAGAGGAGAGAAGUUAAAGACUUUUCUUUCAUGCAGUAAAAGUUAAUGGUGACUCAAGCUGUCAAUCCCUAAAAUGUUGCCUAACAUCUUUUGUUUUAUGGGUUUGUAAAUGAUGUGCAAGGUAAUGAUGGCAGAAAAGUGGGGAAUGGUGCAUACUUCCAUAUGCUAAUUCAAAUAUAUAAGAUGUGGUAGCCUACUAAUAUGCACCCUUUAGGUACAAAGGUGUACUUUGUUAAAAGAGGACCACCCCAAUGACAGCUUUUGAUUUGUUUUCUGCAAUUUUUUUUACAUUUUGUACUGCAGUGUGGUGUUUCACGGAGCUUAAAUUGUUUUAAUAAGUCCCAAUUACCUACAAUUAGCUUUAAUGAGAUAAUGAAACAGAACAUGUCAAAUUUGGCUGCUGGUUAAGCCCUUUGAAUUUGUUCUCAAAUGAAGAACAAGCAGCCCUCGCACUUCCCCAGGCCAGCUGUUUUGUAGAUCUGAUAAUGGUCCAGUUCCUGUCACUAUAUGGCAGAAUGGCUGAGCCUGGUACAGAAAAAGGAUGUUUGUUGGGCUGUGUAUUGCAGUGGGCUUGUAUAAAACUGGACAACCAUUGUUUGCUUACAGGCAGAACUGUAGGACCAUUUGUUUUGGGCCCUACAGAGACCCAAACACAAUGGGCCCUCACACUGACCUCUAAGGCCCCUGCCCACCCACUCGGUCACAGCUUUGUGUUGGCUUACAUUGCAGGAAAGUGUCUUCAAAGUUCUUCUCUGAGUAAGAAUGCAUAGUCAUUCACAUUGCUAUUGGUCCCAGUUGGUUCUUUGUGGUGCUCAGCUGUUGUGUAUACAGUACGGCAUUGUUGCUUCUACACAUGGUGAAAUAAUAAAAAAUAAAAAGCAAGGCAAGAGGCAUGUACAAGGCAUGUAUGUGUCAUUCUGUACUGUCAUUACUCAUUAUUAGCUUACAUCAA